AAGUAUAAGCAAUUAUACCGUGAAACUGCGAAUGGCUCAUUAAAUCAGUUAUCGUUUAUUUGAUAGUACCUUACUACUUGGAUAACCGUGGUAAUUCUAGAGCUAAUACAUGCUAAAAACCCCGACUUCGGGAGGGGUGUAUUUAUUAGAUAAAAAACCAACGCCCUUCGGGGCUCCUUGGUGAUUCAUGAUAACUUCACGAAUCGCAUGGCCUUGCGCCGGCGACGGUUCAUUCAAAUUUCUGCCCUAUCAACUUUCGAUGGUAAGGUAUUGGCUUACCAUGGUUUCAACGGGUAACGGGGAAUUA
rnacentral:rRNA from 1 species